GGGGCCCGCACAAGCGGAGGAACAUGUGGUUUAAUUCGAUGAUACGCGAGGAACCUUACCUGGGCUUAAAUGGGGAGUGACAGCUGUCGAAAGAUGGUUUUCUUCGGACACUCUUCAAGGUGCUGCAUGGUUGUCGUCAGCUCGUGCCGUGAGGUGUCGGGUUAAGUCCCAUAACGAGCGCAACCCUUACCGUUAGUUACCAUCAGGUUAAGCUGGGGACUCUAGCGGGACUGCCACCGUAAGGUGAGAGGAAGGUGGGGAUGACGUCAAAUCAGCACGGCCCUUAUGUCCAGGGCUACACACGUGUUACAAUGGCCGGUACAAAGGGCAGCUACUUCGCGAGAAGAUGCUAAUCUCGAAAGCCGGUCUCAGUUCGGAUCGAAGUCUGCAACCCGACUUCGUGAAGCUGGAGUCGCUAGUAAUCGCGCAUCAGCCAUGGCGCGGUGAAUACGUUCCCGGGCCUU
rnacentral:rRNA from 1 species